AUUGAACGCUGGCGGCAGGCCUAACACAUGCAAGUCGAGCGCGCGGCGGACGGGUGAGUAAUGUAUGGGGACUGCCCGAUAGAGGGGGAUAAAUACUGGAAACGGUGGCUAAUACAACAUACUAUCGGAUAACCCAUAUGGGAUUAGCUAGUAGGUGGGGGAAAGGCGCCCCUAGGCGACGAGCUCUAGCUGGUCUGAGAGGAUGAUCAGCCACACUGGGAAUGAGACCAGGCCCAGACUCCUACGGAUGCAGCAGUGGGGAAUAUUGCACAAUGGGCGAAAGCCUGAUGCAGCCAUGCCGCGUGUAUGAAGAAGGCCUUAGGGUUGGAAAGUACUUUCAGCGGGGAGGCGUUACCCGCAGAAGAAGCACCGGCUAACUCCGUGCCAGCAGCCGCGGUAAUAC
rnacentral:rRNA from 1 species